UACGUGAGGGGCAAGCGUUGUCCGGAUUCAUUGGGCGUAAAGAGCUCGUAGGCGGUCUGUCGCGUCGGCUGUGAAAACCCGAGGCUCAACCUCGGGCCUGCAGUCGAUACGGGCAGACUAGAGUGCUGUAGGGGAGACUGGAAUUCCUGGUGUAGCGGUGAAAUGCGCAGAUAUCAGGAGGAACACCGGUGGCGAAGGCGGGUCUCUGGGCAGUAACUGACGCUGAGGAGCGAAAGCGUGGGGAGCAAACAGG
rnacentral:rRNA from 1 species